UACGUAGGGCGCAAGCGUUGUCCGGAAUUAUUGGGCGUAAAGAGCUCGUAGGUGGCGUGUCGCGUCUGCCGUGAAAGCCCAUGGCUUAACUGUGGGUCUGCGGUGGAUACGGGCAGGCUAGAGGCUGGUAGGGGCAAGCGGAAUUCCAGGUGUAGCGGUGAAAUGCGUAGAUAUCUGGAGGAACACCGGUGGCGAAGGCGGCAUCCUGGACCGACACUGACGCUGAGGAGCGAAAGCCAGGGGAGCAAACGGG
rnacentral:rRNA from 1 species